rnacentral:rRNA from 1 species
UACGGGGGGAGCAAGCGUUGUUCGGAUUUACUGGGCGUAAAGGGCGCGUAGGCGGUCAGCACAAGUCAGUUGCGAAAUCUCCGGGCUUAACUCGGAAAGGUCAACUGAUACUGUGCGACUAGAGUGCGGAAGGGGCAACUGGAAUUCUCGGUGUAGCGGUGAAAUGCGUAGAUAUCGAGAGGAACACCUGCGGCGAAGGCGGGUUGCUGGGCCGACACUGACGCUGAUGCGCGAAAGCGUGGGGAGCAAACAGG